AGAGAGAAAGCAAGAGGAAGGAAGGAGAAUGAGAACUGGAAGACACAGAGAGUUGGAGGAGAUGAUGACAAAGAAGACAGCAUGCGGAGCAGACAAAGAGUGAGGAGGAAAAAAUAAUGGCGGAAAACACAGUGAGUAAGAAAGAGGACAAAAAGACAACCAUGAAAGUGUGGGAAUUUCACUUUGGAGGUGAUGACAUUUCAGAGACUGACAAUAGCGAAGGUGAGGAAACACCAGACAGUGAAGAUAAUGCAAUUUGCAAAACAGCCCAAAAGGUUGAGAAGGAAAACAGUGCCGGUGAGAAGAAAGACAACACUCUGGGGGGACGAAUCUGUGAUUGAGGAAAUCAACCCAGUGGAUGAAGAGAGGGAUGGGGACCAUAAUGAUGGCACCAAGAGUAAUUGGAUGACAUACACAAAUGAUGCAGAAUGGUCAAAUGGUGAUGACGGUAAGUGUCAAAAAGCACUAAAAACGACAGAAGCCACCCUGACUGAUGAGGAAAGGACUGAUUGAGAUGAUGAUGAUUUUACUGAGAUUAAACACUAAAAAGGAGAGAGAAACAUGCUUGCAGAGGAGAAGGUAGCUACCAAUGACUGAGAGAGUCUAUAUCACCUGCCAAGUGCAAAUUACUUGGCAGGUGAUAUAGACUGGUCAGAGACUAAAUACAGUGAGAUUGAGGAAAGAACUGACAGUGACAAUGAGGGCCAAAGAGGAUAAUGAAGAAAACAGACAGACAUGUUUCCUAAACUUAAACCAAGCAUGAAGAAAGACAAAGACAUGUUUAAUGAAGACAAUACAGACAACACCCAUGAGAAAGAGAAAACAAACCAAAACAAUGAAAAGAGAGAGCAGGGUGAGAGAAAAGAGGGUAAAAGCCAAGACACAGAACAUACAAAACUGACGGAGCAACAGGAUCUGACGAGCUCACUUCGAUUCUUGGAGAGUGGUCAGAUAGCAAUGACAGUUAGAAUGUCAAAUCCAACAAUGAGAAAGAAGAGGAAAGAAUAAAGGAGAGUUAGAGAGUCAGCCUGAGGAGGAGAAGGAUAAUGGGAUCUUUGCUGUUGUGGAGGGCUUUCCCUCUCCCUCAGCAUCCUCAGGAAGACAAACAAGCAACCCGCAAAGAUUUCUCCAUCUUUGCUGAGGCAGAGGUUAAGACUCAGGACCCUCACAAGGGCCAGCCAGCAAAGUGCAAAGAUUUCUCCAUCUUCUCAGCUGGUGCUGAGGUCAAACAGACCCAGCACAAAGAUAUCACCAUGGUUGCUGCAGUUGAGUCAAAGACUCUGAACCCUCAGGAGGAUGGUCCAGAAAAGUGAAAAAGCCAGAAUGAUUUGUCUGUGUUUGCUGCAGCUGGAGGAAAGACUCAGGACACUCAGACAGACCAGGCAGCAAAGGUCAAAGGUGAAAAGAACCUGGACAUUGAUAUAGACUGGUCAGAGAGUAAAAGAGAGAUUGAGGAAAAUAUAGCUGACAUUGAGAUACAGUAGAUGAGGAAACAGACCAACCAGCAACGUGCAAAGAUUUCUCCAUCUUUGCUGCAGAGGAGGUUACGACUCAGGACCCUCACGAGGAUCAACCAGCUAAAUGCAAAGCUGUUGCUGAGGUCAAACAGGCCCAGUGCAAAGAUGUCUCCAUAUUUGCUGCAUCCGGGGAAAACACUCUGAACAUUCAGUAGGACAAGCCUACACAAAGUGCAAAGAUUACUCCAUCCAGAAUAAGAUAACCUCACCCCGCAAAGGUAAUAACAAGAGCAGGUUGAUUGAUUGGCUCAUAUCAA